CAAUAGCGUAUAUUAAAGUUGUUGCAGUUAAAAAGCUCGUAGUUGGAUUUCUGGUGGGAGCGAUCGGUCUGGCGCUUAGCGCGAGUACUUGCAUCGUCUCCGGCCAUCCUUGGGGAGAGUCUGUCUGGCAUUAAGUUGUCGGGCAGAGGAUCCUCAUCGUUUACUGUGAAAAAAUUAGAGUGUUCAAAGCAGGCUUAUGCCGUUGAAUAUAUUAGCAUGGAAUAAUAAGAUAGGACUUUGGUACUAUUUUGUUGAUUUGCGCACCAAAGUAAUGAUUAAUAGGGACAGUUGGGGGUAUUCGUAUUCCGUUGUCAGAGGUGAAAUUCUUGGAUUUACGGAAGACGAACUACUGCGAAAGCAUUUACCAAGGAUGUUUUCAUUAA
rnacentral:rRNA from 1 species